rnacentral:ncRNA from 1 species
UUUUUUAAGAGUUUGAUCCUGGCUCAGGAUGAAUGUUGGCGGUGUGCCUGAGAUAUGCAAGUCGAACGUCCCCCUCACCUUUUUUUGUAUUUAAUGUAUUUAUUAAGUUACAGGAAAAGGUGAGGGGGUAGUGGCGGACGGCUGAGUAACACAUAGGGACUUACCCCUUUUUGAAGGAUAGCCCAUCGAAAGGUGGGAUAAUACUUCAUGGUAUGGAUACCGUAAGGUAUUUGUUAAAGAGAUUAACUUCUCGAAAAGGGAUGGACCUGUGGCUUAUCAGAUAGUUGGUGGGGUAACGGCCUACCAAGUCUACGACGAGUAGCUGGCCUGAGAAGGUGGUCAGCCAGAGGGGGACUGA